AACUUUUGGCAACGGAUCACUUGGCUCUCGCAUCGAUGAAGAACGCAGCGAAAUGCGAUACGUAAUUUGAAUUGCAGAAUUCAGUGAAUCAUCGAAUCUUUGAACGCAUAUUGCGCCCUCUGGUAUUCCGGAGAGCAUGCUUGUUUGAGUAUCAGUAAACACCUCAAAUUCCUCUACUUGCUGGCGGAUUUUGGAAUUGAGCAAUCCCAACUUUUCGAAAUAGAAGGCGGGUUGCUUGAAAUGCAGGUGCAGCUAGAUUUUUCUUCUGAGCUAUAAGCAUACUUAUUUAAUCCCGUAAAACGGAUUAUUACUUUUGCUGCAGCUAACAUAAAGGUUGAAGAAUCGCGUUGGCUGUUUGAUACAGGAUUAACAUCUCGCGUACGCGAUCUGUACACUCGGUCUUACAUCGAGGAGGAAUACCCGCUGACCUUAAGCAUAUGAUAAAUCGGGGGCU
rnacentral:misc_RNA from 1 species